rnacentral:rRNA from 1 species
GACGAACGCUGGCGGCGUGCUUAACACAUGCAAGUCGAACGAUGAUGCGGGGCUUUUGUUCCGUGGAUUAGUGGCGAACGGGUGAGUAACACGUGAGUAACCUGCCCCUGACUUUGGGAUAAGCUUGGGAAACUGGGUCUAAUACUGGAUAUUCAACUUCUGGCGCAUGUUGGUUGUUGGAAAGGGUUUUCUGGUUGGGGAUGGGCUCGCGGCCUAUCAGCUUGUUGGUGGGGUGAUGGCCUACCAAGGCUUCGACGGGUAGCCGGCCUGAGAGGGUGACCGGCCACACUGGGACUGAGAUACGGCCCAGACUCCUACGGGAGGCAGCAGUGGGGAAUAUUGCACAAUGGGGGAAACCUUGAUGCAGCGACGCCGCGUGGGGGAUGACGGCCUUCGGGUUGUAAACCUCUUUCGGUAGGGAAGAAUUUGACUGUACCUGCAGAAGAAGCGCCGGCUAACUACGUGCCAGCAGCCGCGGUAAUACGUAGGGCGCAAGCGUUGUCCGGAAUUAUUGGGCGUAAAGAGCUCGUAGGCGGUUGGUCGCGUCUGCUGUGAAAACUGGGGGCUUAACUCCUGGCUUGCAGUGGGUACGGGCUGGCUAGAGUGCGGUAGGGGAGAUUGGAAUUCCUGGUGUAGCGGUGGAAUGCGCAGAUAUCAGGAGGAACACCGGUGGCGAAGGCGGGUCUCUGGGCCGUUACUGACGCUGAGGAGCGAAAGCAUGGGGAGCGAACAGGAUUAGAUACCCUGGUAGUCCAUGCCGUAAACGUUGGGCACUAGGUGUGGGGA